UACAGAGGUCCCGAGCGUUGUCCGGAAUUACUGGGCGUAAAGAGCUCGUAGGUGGUUUGUCGCGUUGUCCGUGAAAACUCACAACUCAAUUGUGGGCGUGCGGGCGAUACGGGCAGACUGGAGUACUGCAGGGGAGACUGGAAUUCCUGGUGUAGCGGUGGAAUGCGCAGAUAUCAGGAGGAACACCGGUGGCGAAGGCGGGUCGCUGGGCAGUAACUGACGCUGAGGAGCGAAAGCGUGGGGAGCGAACAGG
rnacentral:rRNA from 1 species